rnacentral:rRNA from 1 species
AUGAAAAUACAUUUGGAGAAAGAGCAUUCCGUAACUUGUAUGAAGAAACCUGGAGCUCAUCCACCAAACCCUUCAAGCACGGGUGAUGAUACUUGUAAUGUGACGUCGGUUGAAGUUGGUAAUUCGUCCAACGGAAAAAGAAAGAGAACAAAUGAGGAUCCAACACAAACCACCGCAGCUAACUUACACACCCAAUGGGACAAGACUGAGUUAUCCAAUAGGAUAAUUAAAAUUACUGGCCAGUUACAGUUACAGGACAUCCAAGGGGCUUUGAGUAAAGUUCUUGAGCCAUAUGGACCUUGCGCUACUUCAAGUUCAAGUCAUCACCGCCCGAGUACAGCCUCAGCUCAGCACCCAACAACAUCAAUUCUUGUUCCAAUGGAAGUUUAUGGCAGAGUUGCAGAAAAGAACAAGAUCAAAAAGUCAAUAACUGAAAACCAAUCUGGUGGUGUAAAUGUUCUGCCUAUUGUAGGCAUUGCAAGUGUUGGAAAGACAACUCUCGCCCAAUUUGUGUAUAAUGAUCCAGACGUGAAAAGUCAAUUUCACCACAGGAUAUGGGUUUGUGUGUCCUGCAAAUUUGACGAAGUGAAGCUCACAAAGGAGAUGUUAAACUUUUUUCCUCGAGAAAGGCAUGAAGGAAUUAGCAACUUUUCAAAGCUUCAAGAGAUCUUGAAAGGACAUAUUGAGUACCAAACAAAGAGUUUUCUGCUUGUUUUAGAUGAUGUCUCGGACAAUAUGGAUUAUCAUAAAUGGAACAAAUUGGUGUACCCUUUGAUAUCAAGUCAAGUGAAGGGUAAUUUAAUUCUAGUCACAACCAGAAAUUUGUCCGUCUCACAAAGGUUAGGCACACUCAAACCGAUCAACUUAGGUGCUUUGGAAAACGAUGAUAUGUGGUUAUUGCUCAAGUCAUGUGCAUUUGGCUUUGGGAACUAUGAAGGUACGGAAAAUCUAAGCACUAUUGGAAAACAAAUAGCAAAGAAGUUAAAGAGCAACCCGUUAGCAGCAGUAACUGCAGGGGCACUGUUAAGAGAUAAUCUUAGCAUUGAUCAUUGGAGUAACAUUCUCAAGAAUGAGAAGUGGAAAUCGUUGGGACUCAGUGGGGGCAUCAUGUCUGCUUUGAAGCUUAGCUAUGAUGAGCUGCCCUACCAUUUACAACAAUGUGUCUCAUAUUGUUCUAUAUUUCCUGACAAAUAUAGGUUUAUUGGGAAGGAUGUGGUCUAUAUUUGGAUUUCUCAGGGAUUUUUGAAUUACACCCAUUCAAGUAAGAGAUUAGAGGAGAUAGGAUGGGAAUGUCUAAAUGAUUUGGUGAACCUGGGAUUCUUUCAGCAUGUUGCAGAGGAAGAGGACGAGGAUGAGGAUGGGGAAGAGGAAGAAGAAGAGGAAGAGGAAGAGGAAGAAGAAUCUUUUUUAGGCAGUAAAAUUUGGUAUUCUAUGUCUGGUAUUAUGCACGAUUUUGCAAGGAUGGUUUCAAGGACCGAGUGUACAACCAUGGAUGGUCUACAGUGUAAUAAUAUGCUACCAACUAUAUGUCAUUUGUCAAUUGUGACCAAUUCUGCAUAUAGGAAAGAUCAACAUGGAACCAUACCUCGCAAUAUCAAGUUUGAAGAAAAUCUGAGAAAUACAAUUGCUUCAGUGACGAAACUGAGGACAUUAGUUUUACUUGGGCACUAUGACUCUUUCUUAUUUAAAUUGUUCCUUGAUAUAUUCCAAAAGGACCAGAACUUGCGUCUGCUGCAAAUGUCUGCAAGCUGA